GAGCAGAUGAUUAGAUAAUCACGUAGUACUUGCCCUAUACUACGCAAGUUAGACGAUUGAAGUUCAUUUUCAGUGUCGCAAGCACAGCGAUUGCCCCACCGCCUGGGGGAGUCGGUCUCACAGUUAAAACUUAACCGAAUAGUCGGGGACCCACGCAAGUAAGUGAGCACCUGGUUUAAUUUGAAGAUACGCGCCGAACCUUACCAACCCCUCACAUCUUUAUCACUAUAAAAAAGAUUAAAGUCUUCGGUUAUACCGUAAAAAACACAGGGGCCGCUGGCUGUCGUUAGCAUGGUCAGCUCCAUACGAAUAAGUAGAGCAACGACCGUAACCCUCAAUCUUAUCUCCAUCAGGGUUUGGUGCGGGCAUUUCCUCUGAUCAUUCUAAGCAAGCGGAACUAGUUGAUCACGUCAAAGCUUUUGGUGCGCCAAGGGCUCGACUCCCCCCCUGUCUGAGCGUAUUAACAACAGGAAGCAUAGCGUUUACGUCUUACAACAUUUUGCCGAUUAUCACAAGACAAUUGUCUUAUACCCAGACACAUGAAGUGGGAAUUACUAGUAUUGGUGAACCAGCGGUGCACGGAGAAUGCGUUCCCGGCCCUUUACACUCCGCCC
rnacentral:rRNA from 1 species